CGGCUGAUGAUGAUAUAUAUCAAUAUCUUAGCGGAUUUCAGUGAGACACGUGUCAAUGAUCUGAUUUGUUACACACACUGAAGCUG